UAGGCCCCACCUUCAGUGCCAGCAGGUGUCUUCUCGCCAGAGUUCAAGGACCUCGUUGAUCGUUGCUUGAAGAGGAAUCCAAACGAGCGAGGAGAUUUGAAGACAUUAAUGAACCAUCCAUACGUGCGGACAUCGGAGCAAGAGAAAGUGGAUUUUGCGGGCUGGGUGUGCCAAACCAUGGGCUUGGACCCCUCGACUCCAACAAAGCUUACUCCCGAGGGACAGGCCUGACUUCCAUAAUGGUCAAAAAGAAAGCAAUGGAGGAGCACAGCUGCUCUCAGCCUAUGAAGACGGCCAGUGCGUUCGCAACGGGGCCGAACACGCGUGCGAUCCCUGCCUCCUCUUCCAACCCACACGUCUCUCUCUUGUGGGCACAGGGCUCUCAAUGGGUCUACUGCUCCCCCUCUCUUCCCCUUUCCCGUCGACUUCCUGUUGCCUCCAAGCUAUGUCUCCAUCUGAGGCACCAGUUUCACCACUGGCCAUCGCAUGGACGGAUGGAUCAAACGAAUGUACCCGCACAUAACAUUUGCAGAUGGGAAGGAGUCUGCCACAACAGUGCGGUUGUUCCAGAAGUUAUAGAGAACAGAUGCUUAUGAAUUGGCUGACAGAUUCUGAAGGCUUGUGUUUAAGUGGAGCAGUUUGGAGAGGAUGUGAGGGCAGUUUGUUUGCACACCUGCUUCAUCCUCGCAUGUACGCAGCAGCAGUUACAGCGGAAAACUUAGUUGAUGCAAUUCUCAAAAAGAGCGUGCCCAGUUAGUCUCUUGGGUACUUUAACCUUCUCGGCCGAGGGUGAUCCUUCCCUUUUCGAGGGGUGAUCGAUUUCGCACCAGUAACGCUGCUGGUGUUGUGUAUAGAGAGCGCAGUUUUCUCUUCAUCAUUGCAUGUCGCUUAUUAUUUAGUUGUUCUGCGAUAUAAAGAGCAGCUGGCCUUCUGGUCAGCACGCGAGGGAACGCAUUCAGAUUGCUGCUGUUCUGCAAUGCAGUUAAUGUAACUGUUUUGUGGAGGUUAUGGCUACCAUCGUCUUUCGUUUCACCGACACGAAGUAACAGCAUGCACUUCCUGCUGCAAGUAGUCGCAAGGUUUGCUGCAGUAGAGCUCUUUUAGUUCUUUUACUCAUUCAUGCCAUUCAGCUGCAAUUCAUGCUCUUGCUUUCGCUACCCAAACUUUCGCCAUACCAAAUUACAGGGUCAUACCAAACUAUAGGCAAGUGCCUGCUCAUUGAAGUUGUAGUUUACUUGGCAGGACUUGCAGCCAAUGUGAACCUGAGUCCUUUUGCUUUGGAUUGUGCAGCACCUUUUGUGUCAUUCCUUCUCGUGUGAUGACUUGUGCCUACAGUGUGUGCUUAGGUGUUUAAAGGGAGAUAAAGGUGGCUUGUUGGGCGAGUCGGCACACUGUAUACUUGGUAUGGGUAUGCCGACAGCUAAAAAAGAUAGAUGGAAAGAACUUGAGGCAGGAGAUGGAGAAAGGAACAGGAAGGGUGGCGAUUCAAAGGAACAUUGGCACAGUGAUCUUGCCUUUCACUGCAUCUCAGGUACUUGUUAACUCGAUAACUGCACAUGCAGCUAUGUGAAAGCUGCUAAAUGGGCUCUUGCGUUUGUGUUUCACUAAGCUCUUCAAUGCAUUCGACGUGGUAUAAGACUGGCUGUCCGUUGUCACUUUCAAUAGAAUUCUGGGUGCCUAUUUUUUUGUCCUCUUUCCACUCUUAUUCUGCUAAGUUCUGAAUGUUCUAUCAGUGGCUCGAUGUGGCUUUUGACCACUGAUUAUGGGCCGAUUGGCACUUAUGUCGGUUGUUUACAAUGCCGCGAGACCAGAAUCUGACCUCUGUAAUGCAGCAUAUGGCCUGCUUAAUUAAUGCCUGAAGCUUCACUAAAGUUCUUGAAUAUCUCAAACUGGCUGUAUAAGAAGGCAUUGUUAUCGGUUGCAGGUUCCAUUCUGUAAUUACAGAAUUGACACCUAUGUAACAAAGGACAGAGGCAACGUUGUGUCACUUCUAGCAUAAGAAAUUGAGUUGCGAUGAAUGAAAACUACGAUCUCUGGUGAUGUCCGAGGCUUUUGGCUUACCUUGCUGGACACAACAUCAUAGCAAUGUAACGCAGCCUGAAGCAUCAUGGAAAGCAUUUUUUAAAAAAUCGUUCAUGUGUACCGAUUUUACUUUGACCAGGAUGUGUUAAAGGUUGUGCCUUUGAGAUAGUGGACGCAGCUUGAUUGCAUUUGUGGUCUUUUUUUGUAAAUGCGGCAUAGUUUUGUUGCAUUGUGUAUCAUGUUAGUAUCCAUUUUCAGUGUGAAUGGCCAUGAAUUAGUUUUCUUUACAUUAGAUUACACUCAAAAUAAAAAACUGCUAGAGCAGCUAUUGGAUGUCGUUAAGGUUAUUACAUGUGUAACACAGGCAACAAACAUGAUAUAAGAGCAGGCUUCUCAUGGCUGGAAAGUAAAAGGUGCAUCGUUACAGUUAUAUAAUCUAACAUUGCCUGCUACAGCAAACCAUGACUGAGGCCUUCGAGCAGUGCUGAACAGUGCAUGCAAAAACUUGAGCAGAUGCCUCCAGGUUGCUCAUUUAUUCAAAUGUCUGCAAAGCUUGUACGUGCACCAGGGUAGGUUUCAAGCGAGGCUACUUUACAAACCUUGCUUUACUGUCUCUAUAAUGUAGGCUCCACCACUUCACUCUUCCAGUGUGAGGGGAAGUCCAGACACUGUCACUUCAGGCCUAUGACUGGCUUACUACCGGUGUUGCGCACUCGGCAGUCAAGCCCAAUGCGUGGGGUACAAAUACAUGUUCAUUGGAGUGUUGAUACAGACACUCUUCAACAAGAAGCUAAGGAGGAAGUGUUACAUUUGUACACAUGACACCCUUAUAGCGAGCGAGGAUGGUAAUGUCUCUGUUCACACUGUUGCAUGCAUUUGUGCUCUUUGCCCUUGCUGGAAGCAAUGUUCAUUGAAAGGAGAUUCGUAAUUCGGUGCAGUACCUUUCUUGCAUGUGAACUGCAGUUGUUCGACGAGUUGUUCUUGUGUUAUCGCUCCUCUGCAAUCUAUGCACAACAUUGUACAUAUAUAAUGUGCAAGCUGAAGAAAGUGGCCUGCUGAUGUUGUGCAGACAGGAAGCACCUGCGAGGUAGUGUGUACAUGGUGAUUAUAUUCUUUAGGUCUCUUGAGCAUGCAGUAUCUUCGUUCUCGCUUGUGAAUUCUCGUUUACACUGUAGGAACUCUUACUGUAAACCACCUGAGCAGUGUCUGAAGAUGGUCUGGUGGAGAAAUGUGUGGCACCCCGAAAGUGGACUGUAUUUGAAAGUUUUCAGCAGCUUGGCCAUCCCCAAGUCCGUCUGGUCACACUGCGGACACGGUGUUGCACAACUUCAAGACAGCAGCAGCUUGUAAUUUUACAGGGUUAUUUGUAUAAUUGAGCUGCAGAUUGACUUCAAGAGCAGGUUAUCUGUCGCGAAACCUACGGUCAUCCUUGAAAGACUCGCUGAUGUGCCACUAUGGAACCUGGAAUUGCAGCAGCGUGGAAUUUUGCCCUGUCACUGUCCUGCCGCACCUUUGCCAACUGAUGGAUUGGUUGUGUCACAGCCUACUGUACAGCUUUUUUUGGGGGGACUCUUAAUUUAUUGAUGACGGAGAUGGUCUAGUGGUUUAUGCCAGCAAUGAUGCUUCGCGUUGAGCAGAAAGUGUUGGUGAGGAGACUGGGAGCAGGCACAGCUUCGCCCUCACUGGGGGGGGGGGGGGGGGGUGUUGGUGAAACGUGAUGUGGAAAAAAAAAAGGCCACUGGGUGUUCUGGUAGAGUACUCUAGGAAACAUUCCCAAGCACGUGUCAUCCUCGUAUAAACUUUUAUUUAUUGAAGCAACUGUCCCAUCUUUCUUUUUGUGCGAGUGGUUUGUUCUGGCUCCUGCAGCCUCGAGGUCUCAUUUUUCAAAAUGCUCCAAUGAACAAGGGCACGUAUGUGAGCAAAACAGAACAAGUGGAUAUGCACCUUGGGGAGCUGUGAAGCAGCUAUGGGUCUACUAUUACAAGCAUCGAGUUUAACUCUGCGCGACUGCACUGUGUCUGAGUGUGUUAUAUUUUAUUGAUGCAUGCCUUCCCGAUUGGGAGGAACACGCUUACUACAGCUUUGUGGCGGCAACUGAGUGGACAAUGCCCAUUUUCCUUUCUUGUGCGCGGGUGUUCCAUCAGUUGGCAAUUGCCACCUUGUAUCUAUUGUUUCUGAGAUGUUUGUGUUGCUUGUCCGAGAAGAUUGUGUUGCUCUCAACGUUUUUUUGUGUAGGGACUUUUUGUUUGCCUCAUGUAGCAAGAAGUGGUGAGGGGUCUGAAAAGCAGCAAGCAUUUUGUUGACCAAAGAAAUCCUUUGCUGCAUCUCUGCAGGUGAUACGACUAUUUUAAAAUAUUUGAGUUUCAAUAAAGUGGCCCGUGCAU
rnacentral:lncRNA from 1 species